rfam:Ictidomys tridecemlineatus contig082761, whole genome shotgun sequence.
GUGGUUAUGGCUCAGUGGGAGAGCACACAUCUUGCAUAUGUGAGUGCUGGAUUCGAUCCUCAGCACCACA